GUAACAAGGUCUCCGUUGGUGAACCAGCGGAGGGAUCAUUACUGAGUACUACACUCUCUACCCUUUGUGAACUAUUAUACCUGUUGCUUCGGCGGCGCCCGCAAGGGUGCCCGCCGGUCUCAUCAGAAUCUCUGUUUUCGAACCCGACGAUACUUCUGAGUGUUCUUAGCGAACUGUCAAAACUUUUAACAACGGAUCUCUUGGCUCCAGCAUCGAUGAAGAACGCAGCGAAACGCGAUAUGUAAUGUGAAUUGCAGAAUUCAGUGAAUCAUCGAAUCUUUGAACGCACAUGGCGCCUUCCAGUAUCCUGGGAGGCAUGCCUGUCCGAGCGUCGUUUCAACCCUCGAGCCCCUGUGGCCCGGCGUUGGGGAUCUGCCACGGCAGGCCCCUAAAACCAGUGGCGGACCCGAAGGGCCCUCUCCUUUGCGCAGUAGCAUUCGCCUCGCAUCGGGAGUCCUCGGCGUCCUGCCUCUAAACCCCCCACAAGCCCGCUUCGGCGGCACCAAGGUGACCUCGGAUCAGGUAGGAAUACCCGCUGAACUUAAGC
rnacentral:misc_RNA from 1 species